rnacentral:rRNA from 1 species
UGGGGAAUUUUGGACAAUGGGCGAAAGCCUGAUCCAGCAAUGCCGCGUGUGUGAAGAAGGCCUUCGGGUUGUAAAGCACUUUUGUCCGGAAAGAAAUCCUCUGGGUUAAUACCUCGGGGGGAUGACGGUACCGGAAGAAUAAGCACCGGCUAACUACGUGCCAGCAGCCGCGGUAAUACGUAGGGUGCAAGCGUUAAUCGGAAUUACUGGGCGUAAAGCGUGCGCAGGCGGUUUUGUAAGACGGAUGUGAAAUCCCCGGGCUUAACCUGGGAACUGCAUUCGUGACUGCAAGGCUAGAGUAUGGCAGAGGGGGGUAGAAUUCCACGUGUAGCAGUGAAAUGCGUAGAGAUGUGGAGGAAUACCGAUGGCGAAGGCAGCCCCCUGGGCCAAUACUGACGCUCAUGCACGAAAGCGUGGGGAGCAAAACAGGAUUAGAUACCCUGGUAGUCCACGCCCUAAACGAUGUCAACUAGUUGUUGGGGAUUCAUUUCCUUAGUAACGUAGCUAACGCGUGAAGUUGACCGCCUGGGGAGUACGGUCGCAAGAUUAAAACUCAAAGGAAUUAACGGGGUCAUAGCUGUUUCC